rnacentral:snRNA from 1 species
AAUGGAUUAACGAGAUUC